AGAGUUUGAUCCUGGCUCAGGACGAACGCUGGCGGCGUGCUUAACACAUGCAAGUCGUACGCGCCAUCUUCGGGUGGUGAGUGGCGAACGGGUGAGUAACACGUGGGCAACCUGCCCUGCACUUCGGGAUAACUUCGGGAAACCGGGGCUAAUACCGGGUAUGACCUGCUCCUGCAUGGGGGUGGGUGGAAAGCCUUCGG
rnacentral:rRNA from 1 species